CUGAACUUCACACUAACGGGCUGUGUAUCGGACGCGUGGAGGUGAAGGUGAUGGAUAUGAUGAGCUCUUUCAGGAGUUUAGUAGGAUUUGCAGCGUGUGCAGCUGGAGCUGUAGUCGUGGCUGCUCUAGGAUAUUAUUAUGUUCAUAAGCGUGGACAUGAGGAGCGGAGGACGGAGGCCUUCGAAGGCACACCUGUCCACGAAGACCCAGUGCAGAUUGUCUCUUCAGGCUUUCUGCAGUCUCCUGAUGGACACAAGGACACGCAGAUGGACAAGGCCAACCCUGAGGGGUGUCUGGAAAAGGCCGAGGAGGAGGAUGAGGAGGAAGAUGAGGUGUCCGUUGUUCAACAGAACAGCGAGGAGCUCCAUGUGCCGAACCUGGUGGAGAAAGUCACGGAGCUGGAGAAACUGCUCUCUGAGCUUCACAGAGAGUCUGAGAUAAAAAGCAAGGAGCUUGAGCAGGAGCGACAGGCUCACAGGGUCCUGAAGGAGAAGUACACUGAGAUGGAGGUGGUAGGGCAGAAUGAGGGGGUACUAAAGUCCUGUCUGGAUGAAGCUGAGGAGAGAGCUGAGAUCGCUGUAGAGUCCAACGCUCAGCUGGAGCGCGAGAACUCCAACCUGAAGAACCAGGUCAAAACACUGCAAGGGUCAGUGGAGAAGUUGGCGGGAGAACUCCAUGAGACCCAGCAGAUGUGUGAACAGAUACUGAAGGGUCAGCAGGCCGAGCUGACGGACCUGGAGUGCGGAAGCAGAGUUCGGGAGGAGCUGCUCUUUAAGGUAGCCAGAGAGUCUGAGAUGAAAAGCGAGGAGCUGGAGCGAGAGCAGAAGUUUUACUGCACCCUCUGGGUCAAUUACAAAAACACCGUGUCCUGUCUGGACGAAGCUGAGGAGAGAGUUAAGAUCGCUGUAGAGGCCAACGCUCAGCUGGAGUACCAGAACUCCGUUCUGUUGGAGCAGAGGAAAACACUGCAAGACUCGGUGGAGAGGCUGAAGGAACAGCUGUGUGAGACUCACGGGAAAGGUGCCAGGUUAUUGAAGAGUACUCUGAAGAACGAGAACGUCUUCCUGAAGGACCGGGUACAAACACUGGUAGAGUCUGGGGAGACGCUGGAAAGACAACUCCAUGAGACCCAAAGGCUCUAUGAAGAGAUGCUCAUCGAGCGGGAGCGAGAGCGGACGGAUCACAGAACCCUUUUGUCCCAGUAUGAACACAUUAAGGGCUCUCUGGCUGAAUUUCAGAAGAAAGCUGAGAAUGCUCAGGACUGCAGAACUCUGGAGAAAGAGAUGUUCUGCAAGUCUCAUUAGAGGACUCUGUGUUACAGAACUGUAAUGUCAGAAGACGUUAAGUCAAAGAAGCUGAAAAAUAUAAGAUCGCCAACACAGAUGCUGCACAUCGUUUAACACAAAGGACAAAAAGAAUGACCUAUGAAACAUUUUGAAAUGUUCCGUUUAUAUUAGGCACGUCACGAUACCAUAAACAUAUCUUACGACUCUGUACCAGCUGAAGUAUCACGAUCCCUCGCAGGGUCGUGUUCGUUCGUCAUUCAAAUCUACAAAACGAACCAGAUUUACAGAGAUACACAGAUAUCAGUGAAAAAUGUUUCACUCUGAAGACUUUAUUAACGAGAAUGAAGAACGGGCUGUCGGACAAGCUCAAGAACAAUCCUACAGUUGGCGAGUCACCUUCGUCUCCUGUUCCCUCGAGCCGUGAAAUCAUGCGAAUGGAAAUUGUCCCCAGAGUACGCAGAACGGACACAUUAGGAAUAAAUAAACUGAAUUCGGAAACAAACCUCCCCAAAAAAAAAAUCAUAAAAUUGGGAACGUUAGCUUGCGUACUGGCAAACACGGCUAAUUUUAUUAUUCACCCCCGGCGGUUAGCGUAACGUUAGCUCGCUUACAAACAAACAGGAAAUGGUUAAAGAUUAAGGUGAAGAACUUUGGUUAAAUGAAAGGUGUCACUAAUCUUUGUGUGUGAAAGCAGUGAGACGUGUCAUUUUAGUGAAAAUAGUAUGAACUGCUGCGCACACAUCAUUACUUACAGUACGACUGCACUGACGAUACGACCGUUUAAAAAUACAGUGGCAUAUUUUGAAGCUUUAGUAUCGCGAUACUACCGUAGUGGCGGUACUGUUCAACCCUAGGUUAUAUAUUGUUCUAGUAAGGACUUUUGCAGCUGCCUCAUAGUACAUGUGGUUUUACACGUGUAACUCCUAUAAGCAAUGUUAUUGUAUUUAAUUUUAUUUUUCUUUUUUAAACGAAAAAACUCCUUGAUUAUUUUCCAAAUAAAGUUGUCUUUGAUAAGAAGGAUCGAGUAUAAUAUAGUGCGAAGGAUAAAAAUGUCAUUUUUCUAAUUGUUUACAGACAGUUUUUUUUUUUAGCAAUAAAAACAGCAUUUUGCUGUAGUUGCUCAGACUAACCCUGGGUUUUAUGUGUCACAAAAGUUUAUAUGUGUAAUAAAAAUGUACAUCAUUAAUAGAAUAUAUGGUAUAAAAAAA
ensembl:lncRNA